AAAAGAAAAGGGAAGGAAAGAAAGAAAAUUAGGGGUUUCAAGGUUUCAAGCUCAAUUGCUAAUGUCGUGCAAGAGUCAUUGCCGAGAAAGGAAAGGGGAAGGUGAUCAAGGAGUGACUCGAGAAAAUUUACGAUAAAAACAAAGCUGCAAGCUCGGGGAUCGUCAGAAAAGAUCAUCACUCUAUCUAUUGUCUCGGUAUUGAAAUGUUUAAAUUUUAACUUAUGGCAUGUAUAUGCUAGAUAAUGUUUUGGAAGUACUGUAUAUAUAAUUAAUAGCCAUACGAAAAUGGCUUAUUUUCUUAUGGUUUA